rnacentral:tRNA from 1 species
UCCCUGAUAGCUCAGUUGGUAAAGAAUCUGCCUUCAAUGCAGGAAACCCCAGUUCAAUUCCUGGGCCAGGGAG